AAAAAAAGAGAGAUAGAGAGAGAGAGAGAUUCUGCAAGCAUUAAUUAUCGUCGUUUGUGUACUGCUCUAAAGACAAAACAUAUUCCGCUCGCAGUGCGAUUGAUUACGAUUGUUUGCGCGCGCGGCUCCGUCUGUGUGUGUCUCUGUGUGAGUGUGUGCGUGCGUGCGUAUGUUUUUUAUGAGCAGCGAAUCCGUCCCGAGUUUCCAAGCUAAAGUUGCAUGGAGACACGCCGCGUAAGAAGCGUAUAAUAAAGAGGAUGGUGAGCAACAUAAAGGAGCGAGGAGAGCGAGAACAACUUGUGCUGAGAAAGCGAACCUUUAAGAAAUAUUUAGCCCAUAAGAGAGAGGGUCACUGAAGCAGUUCGUUUGAAAAAAGAAGAAGAAAUUCACUGCAGCGAUGCAUCGGAGGCGAGUCAGAUGGAGUUGGCGAGGCAAAAUUAAUGUACAUUACAUGCACUCCACGUAACGCUCCUGAGCGAUGUCUUUCCUAGGGCUUCCUGCACUGGGCAGGACAGAACUUGAGGCAUCCACCGUGUCAAGUACAGAGGGUGAAUGAACGCUCGACUCACAGAACGAUCCCAGACGGUGUUGCUCGUGACAAAAUCUGCUGAUGAUUGGAGGUCUAUGGAAAAGUGAGAUGUGAAGCGAACUGGCUGUAUUCCUCAUGGAAGCAGAGGAAAGGCUGACAGGCAUGGAAGAUGAUGGAAGAAAAAGGAGGGGUUUACCAAUAAAUAAGGAUACAAAUAUGGGAAAACGUUACCUUGUAUCCUGCACACAAGAUCAACGUCAAACCAACGUCUGUUAGACUGCUGUACACCUGUAAAUGGAUAUUAAGCAAGUUGAUUACUUUGUAGGAACAACAUAACAUCGUCAGGUAUUUGCAAUAUCUGUCUGUAAACUACCUGGGUUUAAUAAAUGAGCCGGACUUGCUUACGUGUCACGUGCACACGUGAGACUCAUGAGCUGCGAGACGUAAGGAAAUAUGACAAUGAUGUAGUACGUAUUUGAGCUUAAAAAAUGUUUACUUGCACAUAAAACCAUGUAUAGAUACAUUUGUUGUAAUUAUUUACCUUAAUUAGUGAAAUUGUGUAGACGAGAUGCACAUGAACGCUUGUGUUGAGUCGUGUUGCUUUAGUUCUCAAAGACAUGAAGGCAAACACAUACUGAUUUAAUCUUAUUUGUUCUAAUUAAAUCAUAGCCUAUAUGUAGCUUCAAAUGGAUUUGUUGUGACUGUGAUAAUAAGAACUUGUGCGUAACGCGAGCGUCUGCAGACUUGUGUGAAAAUUACAGGCGCGAGUUUUUUUUUUUUUAGCUUGUGGUGCUUUAUAAUUGUUAGGGUUACAUAUUCGUGAGAUCUUAAUAGCUUGUUUAACAUGUUGAAUGGAGCUGCAGACGGAGAGUUGGAGCUGUCAGGCGUUUUCUGUGCACGCUCUGCUGCUGCUGACGUAUCACUCCCACGGCCCAAGUGAGUUUAGGACUCAAAUAAUGCUGUGUUCUAUUAGUUCUUUAGCUAAAUAUGUUUAUUAUAUCGUAUAUGUGUAAUAAGGUUUCAUAACUAGUGUUUAGGGAGCAUUUUGAACACAGUAAAUGUGAAAUAUGACUUGUUGGGACUGGGAGUUAUCAAAGGGUCAAAUGGGUUGGGUCCUGCGGGGGGGGGGGGGGGGGGGGUAUGAUGUCGAAAUUAUAUGUUUUAAAGUUUGUCUAAGCAAAAGAUAAUUAAGUAAAAUAUCUAUAUUUUGCAUCAGUUAUUAUUUUGUAGUAUAUAAAUUACAAAAAAAUAAAUAUAAUAACUGAUAAUGCACUAUGUAGCCUAGCUAUCGGAUUGCUUGUGCCUUACGUGACUUUUAUUUUUAUUGGUUCAUAAUUAGAGUAUUUCCUGCUUUGCUGUUACUGUAUAUCAUACAACCCAAAACGUGCUUAACAGUUUGAGCUGAACUGAGUAAUAUGAGUAAAGUGUGGUUGCUGCAGUGUGCACGACGUGAGAGCGUAACGUGCGAGUUCUGCAUUUCUGAGUAUUUGAAUGACAUUUCUGUAUAGUGCACAGAGAAAAAUAUGCUGCAUUAACUAUUCGACCCUGAGUAAUUGUUUAGCUAUUUCAUUACAUGAAACAAGAUGUGCAUGUGGUGUGAGAAAUAUGUGAUUUGAUUAUGUUGCAAAAUCUAAAAGCUGGAAGUUUGUCGUUCAGGUGACAAA